ACAUAUCACGUAGAAAUACCGAUUUCCGUACGGUAACCGAAGUUAAGCUAUGCCGAGACUGUUCAGAACCUAGAUGGGUGACCGCUUGGGAAUACCACGUGCUGCAA